CAGCCGCCGCGGUAAUACGUAGGGUGCAAGCGUUAAUCGGAAUUACUGGGCGUAAAGCGUGCGUAGGUGGUGGUUUAAGUCCGUUGUGAAAGCCCUGGGCUCAACCUGGGAAUUGCAGUGGAUACUGGGUCACUAGAGUGUGGUAGAGGAUAGUGGAAUUUCCGGUGUAGCAGUGAAAUGCGUAGAGAUCGGAAGGAACAUCUGUGGCGAAGGCGACUAUCUGGGCCAACACUGACGCUGAGGCACGAAAGCGUGGGGAGCAAACAGGAUUAGAUACCCCCGUAGUCCCUGUCUCUUAUAC
rnacentral:rRNA from 1 species